UGCAGAGGUCCCAAGCGUUGUUCGGAUUCACUGGGCGUAAAGGGUGCGUAGGCGGUCGGGUAAGUCUGGCGUGAAAUCUCCAAGCCUAACUUGGAAACUGCGUUGGAUACUAUCCGGCUCGAGGAAUGGAGGGGAGACUGGAAUACUUGGUGUAGCAGUGAAAUGCGUAGAUAUCAAGUGGAACACCAGUGGCGAAGGCGAGUCUCUGGACGGUGACUGACGCUGAGACGCGAAAGCGUGGGGAGCAAACAGG
rnacentral:rRNA from 1 species